UUGACUGGAAUAAUUCCACAGAACAGAUUUCACGAACAAUGACGACCGAGGUCUAUAAGAUGAGAUAAGAACGAUGAAGAUUUUUACAGAAAAAGGUUUACUCACUAUAGUAAAAUUUGUCGUUGCAGCACAUAUAUAUAACAACAAUACACUCACAUAAAAAACGGCGAGAAAGGAAACUAAAAACGUGGAAAUCGUCAAACUGGAAAAUUUAAAAUCUGAAUAGAAAAGAAACUCGUGGUUAAAAAUCCUCAGACGUAAGUUUGUUCACAUAUUUGUUGGAUCAUAAAGGACUUACUAAUGAUUUGGAGUAAAUCCAGCAUUGAAAUGCACCCACAGCCAAGAUAAUAUAUCUAUAGAGAAGAAUGAAAAAGAUUUUUUAUAUGAGAAAAGAACAUGAGGUUGACUUGUUUUAGCUUAAGAUUACUACUAAGACAACCAAAAAGCUCCAGACCUAGACAAAUGUGGAUUUUUCUGUAUUGUUUGGAAAAUUUUCCAAAUUUGUAUAUGACAUCGUAUUGACAAUAUGAAUGAAGUACGAACACGAGCUGACAGGAGAAAUAUUGCUGCAGUUGGUAUAACAAAUGAGAGAAUAAAACAAAAAAAAGUCAAUGAGUAUAACAGUUAGGAGCAGAAGAAGAAUUACAACAAAAGUAAUGAGAGAAGAUUUAUAAAAAUAGAAAGAAAAAGAAGAAGGGAGAUAGGAUAAAAGAAAACGAUAGAAAAGGAAAGGAUAAAAGAAACAAAGGACUACUUUAUCUCAUAAGGAAUAACGUUUUAUUUCAUCUGCAUUGAUAAAAAAAAUAUUUUGACAUUCAUACAUUGUAAUAUUUGAUCUUGAAUGGUGCUGUGGUGCACAAGGUGUAUAUCAAAAGUCUAUCGACUGUCAAAGGUUAUAUCACAAAUUUUUUUAUACAAAUAACUUAACGAAUAACAGUGCGCGUCUUCAGAAAUGAUUGAAAUGUUUUAAAAACA